rnacentral:rRNA from 1 species
UACGAAGGGGGCUAGCGUUGUUCGGAAUUACUGGGCGUAAAGCGCGCGCAGGCGGUCUUCCAAGUCAGUGGUGAAAGCCUGGAGCUCAACUCCAGAACUGCCAUUGAAACUGUUAGACUUGAGUACGAGAGAGGUGAGUGGAAUUCCCAGUGUAGAGGUGAAAUUCGUAGAUAUUGGGAAGAACACCAGUGGCGAAGGCGGACUCACUGGCUCGUAACUGACGCUCAGGCGCGACAGCGUGGGGAUCGAAACAGG